rnacentral:rRNA from 1 species
GACGAACGCUGGCGGCGUGCCUAAUACAUGCAAGUAGAACGCAGUGGCGAACGGGUGAGUAACGCGUAGGUAACUGCCUCAUAGCGGGGGAUAACCAUGGGAAACGACAGUUAAUACCGCAUACUGUGAGCUGGACCUGCGUUGUAUUAGCUAGUUGGGGAGGUAAAGGCUCACCAAGGCGACGAUACGUAGCCGACCUUAGAGGGUGAUCGGCCACACUGGGACUGAGACACGGCCCAGACUCCUACGGGAGGCAGCAGUAGGGACACUUCGGCAAUGGACGGGAGUCUGACCGAGCGACGCCGCGUGAGUGAAGAAGAUUUUCGGGUCGUAAAGCUCUGUUGUUAGAGAGACAGUAACUAACCAGAAAGGGACGGCUAACUACGUGCCAGCCGCCGCAGUAAUAC